UCCCCGGUAGCUCAGUCGGUAGAGCGAGUGGCUGUUAACCACCAGGUCGGCGGUUCAAGUCCGUCCCGGGGAGCCA
rnacentral:tRNA from 1 species